GUGGGGAAUCUUGCGCAAUGGGGGAAACCCUGACGCAGCAACGCCGCGUGAGCGAUGAAGGCUUUCGGGUCGUAAAGCUCUGUUAGGUGGAAAGAAAUUUUUCCGAUUGAAUAAAUUGGAAAAUUGACGGUACCACCAGAGGAAGCACCGGCAAACUCCGUGCCAGCAGCCGCGGUAAUACGGAGGGUGCAAGCGUUGUUCGGAAUCAUUGGGCGUAAAGAGCGUGUAGGUGGUUAAAUAAGUCAGAUGUGAAAUCCCUUGGCUCAACCAAGGAAGUGCAUCUGAAACUGUUUAGCUUGAGUACGGGAGGGGAAUGGCGGAAUUCCCAGUGUAGAGGUGAAAUUCAUAGAUAUUGGGAGGAACACCAGUGGCGAAGGCGGCCUUCUAGCCCGAUACUGACACUGAGACGCGAAAGCGUGGGGAGCAAACAGGAUUAGAUACCCCGGUAGUCC
rnacentral:rRNA from 1 species